rnacentral:rRNA from 1 species
GAAAAGAACCCCGGGAGGGGAGUGAAAUAGAUCCUGAAACCGCAUGCAUACAAACAGUCGGAGCCUCGUAAGGGGUGACGGCGUACCUUUUGUAUAAUGGGUCAGCGACUUACGUUCAGUAGCAAGCUUAACCGUAUAGGGCAGGCGUAGCGAAAGCGAGUCCGAAUAGGGCGUUCAGUUGCUGGGCGUAGACCCGAAACCAAGUGAUCUAUCCAUGGCCAGGAUGAAGGUGCGGUAACACGUACUGGAGGUCCGAACCCACUAACGUUGAAAAGUUAGGGGAUGAGCUGUGGAUAGGGGUGAAAGGCUAAACAAACUUGGAAAUAGCUGGUUCUCUCCGAAAACUAUUUAGGUAGUGCCUCGUGUCUCACCUUCGGGGGUAGAGCACUGUCAUGGUUGGGGGGUCUAUUGCAGAUUACCCCGCCAUAGCAAACUCCGAAUACCGAAGAGUGCAAUCACGGGAGACAGACAUCGGGUGCUAACGUCCGGUGUCAAGAGGGAAACAACCCAGACCGCCAGCUAAGGUCCCCAAAUAUAGCUAAGUGGGAAACGAAGUGGGAAGGCUAAAACAGUCAGGAGGUUGGCUUAGAAGCAGCCACCCUUUAAAGAAAGCGUAAUAGCUCACUGAUCGAGUCGUCCUGCGCGGAAGAUGUAACGGGGCUAAGCUAUAUACCGAAGCUGCGGAUGCG